UUUAUUAGUACACUACUUACUCAACUUUUAGUAGAGAACAUGUUUUGAAUAAUACAUAUAUUGAAUACGUAACUCAUAAUCUGAUAAUGGAUAACAUGCUUGGAGUUAUACAUAUAAUGAAUGUAUGUAUUAUUGUAUCUAUUUAUGUCCUCCUUUCCGGUCCGGCCGCAGUACGGCACCUGAACUCGAAGCUACGAUCAGAUCCAGUAUAGAUAUGUUUAAUUCCCAUUUAAGUUCUACCUUAAAUUACUAUUGCUCCCUUUUUGGUCAAUUUUCGGUCAUGGACGUUUUAUUGAUGAAUGAGUUUGUACAACAUUGGACUCAACUGAGUCCAAAAAAAAAUUCACACAAACUUAAAAUUCAGCCCAACCCAAUCCUACAAACCUCUUUUAAAAGACCCUUCAGGUAGGGUUUUCUAAUUCGACAUUCUCCUCAUUUUCGCCUCCAUGUAUCCUCUGAGAGAGUUUGUCAACUAAGUCGUAUGUAUUCUUCAUCUGGGGAUCAUCAAUUCCCCUUUUGGGUAGUGGUUUAUUAAUGAGCAGAGAAUCAACUCACAAAGGUAUGUGCCUUUCCUCUCAUCCCUUCUUUCUAGUUGGGCUCUUCUUCUCUUGUUUCUUUCUCUCUUAAGUAGUAGAGUUGUUAUCCGGCGGAUAUCGUGGGAUUUUUUUGGAUUCGACAGAGGUAUCUAGUCAUGACCCUUAGUUGAGUGUGCUCUGUAUAAGCCUUCAUCUUCGCUUUUUCAUUCUAUUGUGUUGUUCCUCAUGAAACUUCAUCCACUAAAUCGUUCUUUGCUGAUGAGGUAGAUAGUGAUGGAAAUAUCCGCGAUGCACAGACGCUUCCUUUUUUACUCCUCCUCCUCCAGAUCAGUUCUCCCAAUUCAUAUUCGUCCCUCUUGCCCUCGAAUUUUUUUGGUGACUCCUUUUGGAGGCGUAUGAACUUUCUCUCAGAUUUCCUCUACCAACUUCAUCUAUGUUGAACUUCAUCCAUCCUUGCUCUAGCAAUUUCAUUCAUCCUUGCUCUGAUAAUUCCCCUCUUACUGUCAACCAAUGAUUCUUUGGUUUGUAUUUCUGUGCUUGGCUAUUAUUUCCUCCCACUCUGUUGGUACCCCAAUUCAUGGGUAUUUCAAUUUGACCAAGCAAUGCAUGUAUAUCAUGGUCUGCUAAAUGUCUUUUUUCUCAUAACUCCCACAUUAACAGAGAAAGAAUGGCUUUGUAUAUGUACCUUAAUUUUGUUGGGGAUGGUUCAUUUCACUGCUUCUAUAUCAACUAUAUACAUAGCUUUUGAGCUAGUGAAGUUGUUAGAAAUAGGUGAAACAUAGUCUCUUGUACGUAGCUUUCACAACAGUAGCAUCUUGAGGCCAAUGAAAUCGUCAUCUUCCUUAGUUUGUCUUCGGUGGUAAUCCUCCCUUGCCAUACCCUCAAUGGGAAAUAGCUUAUUUAAAAAGGUAUGUCUUUCAAUCAAAUAUUGUCCAACCAUUCUUGUUGUAGUCUUCUUUUUAUCAAUAGUUCAUAUGCAGAUUUUACUAAGAAAUUGUCACUAUUAUUAGGCAUCUAGCAUGGUGUAUCACUUUCUCCAGGUUCCACGCUAAUGUUAAUCUUGAUCUUAUGAUAUCAUGCCAACCAUUUUUCUUAUUCCAAUCUCCAUUUCUGGUGUGACUUUUCACUUCAAUAUAUUUCAUCUCCAUAUCAUUUUCAAUGAAGUAUAGUGCUCCUUACUUGAUCCAGUUAUCAAAUCAAAACUUGAAGUUUCAUGAUUUAAUUUUUCAUUUUAUCUCAUGUUCAGUCUCGUCUCUUACCUCUAUUAUUUUUUUCUAUGCACGUGAAGCUCAUCUAGCUCUCGCAAUAACCAAGUAUUGUUGUUUACACUAUUUUUUACACAUAAAUGUACUCCAUAAGAUCCUAUCGAGACCCUAAAUUUCUACCAUAGACUCUUAAAUAGGGCUUAGUUACUUUAUGGAGUGAUCUCAAAACCCACUCCCCGUUCUAUCUUAGGAAAACAUAUAUCCUCCCACGCAACCCAAUGUUUUCCCCUUUCUCCCCCUAUUUUGUACCAAAAAAUCUUAGCAAAAGCACGGUGCACUUAUUUUAUGAUUCCUCUAGUAGGGUUCAUGGUUGAUAGAAGAUACACUGACAUAUAUUAUAGAACGUGUGCGAUCAGCACAUGUCAUCCUCCAUAGGAUAAGUACUCAUUCUGUCAGCCCAUGAUCAUUUUUGUCAUUUCCCUCAGUAUAUCUUUAUGGUUUACCUUGGUCUUUUUUCCAUAAUAAACAAUACAUUCUAGGUAUGUAAAAGGGAAAGUUUUCAUUUUUAUACCCGUGAGUUUUUUCAAUCUCAUUUCCACCGCGGGAGGUGUUUCUUCAUGCAUAUAAAAUAAAUUUUUGUCCUUAUUUAUCAUUUGGCCAGAUACCUCUUCAUACCUCUUAAGUACCCUCAUCAUUUUUAUUACUAAAUAUUUAUCUCAUAAUACAAAUAAAAUUAGAGUCCAGAU